rnacentral:rRNA from 1 species
AUUGAACGCUGGCGGCAGGCCUAACACAUGCAAGUCGAGCGAGCGGCGGACGGGUGAGUAAUGUAGGGGCAUCUGCCCGACAGAGGGGGAUAACUACUGGAAAACGUGGCUAAUACCGCAUAAUACCGGAUGGACCCUUAUGGGAUUAGCUAGUAGGUGGGGUAAAGGCUCACCCAGGCGACGAUCUUUGGCUGGUCUGAGAGGGUGAUCAGCCACACUGGGACUGAGACACGGCCCAGACUCCUACGUGAGGCAGCAGUAGGAAAUAUUCGACAAUGGACGAAAGCCUGAGAGAGCCAUGCCGCGUGUGUGAAGAAGGCCUUCGGAUUGUAAAGCUCUUUCAGUGGAGAGGCUUUACCCGCCCAGAAAGCCCCGGCUAACUCCGUGCCAGCAGCCGCGGUAAUUC